CGUAGGUGGCAAGCGUUGUCCGGAAUUAUUGGGCGUAAAGCGCGCGCAGGCGGUCCUUUAAGUCUGAUGUGAAAGCCCACGGCUCAACCGUGGAGGGUCAUUGGAAACUGGGGGACUUGAGUACAGAAGAGAAGAGUGGAAUUCCACGUGUAGCGGUGAAAUGCGUAGAGAUGUGGAGGAACACCAGUGGCGAAGGCGACUCUUUGGUCUGUAACUGACGCUGAGGCGCGAAAGCGUGGGGAGCAAACAGGAUUAGAUACCCUGGUAGUCCACGCCGUAAACGAUGAGUGCUAAGUGUUAGAGGGUUUCCGCCCUUUAGUGCUGCAGCAAACGCAUUAAGCACUCCGCCUGGGGAGUACGACCGCAAGGCUG
rnacentral:rRNA from 1 species